ensembl:lncRNA
UCUCUCUCUCUCUCUGACAUGUAGGACAUCUCUCUCUCUGACAUGACAUCUCUCUCUCUCUCUAUCUGACAUGUAGGACAUCUCUCUCUCUCUCUCUCUCUGACAUGUAGGACAUCUCUCUCUCUCUCUCUCUGACAUGUAGGACAUCUCUCUCUCUCUCUUUCUCUCCGACAUGUAGGACAUCUCUCUCUCUCUCUCUCUCUCUGACAUGUAGGACAUCUCUCUCUCUGACAUGUAGGACAUCUCUCUCUCUCUCUCUGACAUGUAGGACAUCUCUCUCUCUAUCUGACAUGUAGGACAUCUCUCUCUCUCUAUCUGACAUGUAGGACAUCUCUCUCUCUCUAUCUGACAUGUAGGACAUCUCUCUCUCUCUAUCUGACAUGUAGGACAUCUCUCUCUCUCUAUCUGACAUGUAGGACAUCUCUCUCUCUAUCUGACAUGUAGGACAUCUCUCUCUAUCUGACAUGACAUCUCUCUCUCUCUCUCUGACAUGUAGGACAUCUCUCUCUAUCUGACAUGUAGGACAUCUCUCUCUCUAUCUGACAUGUAGGACAUCUCUCUCUCUCUCUCUCUAUCUGACAUGUAGG